rnacentral:rRNA from 1 species
UACAGAGGGGGCAAGCGUUGUUCGGAAUUACUGGGCGUAAAGGGCGCGUAGAUGGCCUUCUAAGUUGAACGUGAAAUCCCUGGGCUCAACCCAGGAACUGCGUCCAAGACUGGGAGGCUUGAAUCCGGGAGAGAGAUGCGGAAUUCCAGGUGUAGCGGUGAAAUGCGUAGAUAUCUGGAGGAACACCGGUGGCGAAGGCGGCAUCCUGGACCGGCAUUGACGCUGAGGCGCGAAAGCUAGGGGAGCAAACGGG